rnacentral:rRNA from 1 species
UACGUAGGGUGCAAGCGUUGUCCGGAAUUAUUGGGCGUAAAGAGCUCGUAGGCGGUUUGUCGCGUCUGCUGUGAAAACCCGAGGCUCAACCUCGGGCCUGCAGUGGGUACGGGCAGACUAGAGUGCGGUAGGGGAGAUUGGAACUCCUGGUGUAGCGGUGGAAUGCGCAGAUAUCAGGAGGAACACCAAUGGCGAAGGCAGAUCUCUGGGCCGUAACUGACGCUGGAGGAGCGAAAGCAUGGGGAGCGAACAGG